CAACUGUAGACUGUAGACUCUGGGCCAAUGAGAGGCCACAACUGUCUACAGUCUACACUUGGCAAUGCACGUCGCCCGCGACGACCUCUGCGAAUUCCCCAAAUGUGGGAAUCUCGACUGCAUAAUUUCUGGUAGUGGGGGACUGCGUUCGCGCUCUCCCCUG